GAAAUCUCUAUUCAGAGGCCAUAAAAGAACGCCUUAAACCCCCAUCGCUGUGGGGCCGGUUACAGAAACAGAGAAUGGAUUAAGGGACACAGAGAGAGAGAGAAGUGUACAGGUGAGAGGAGAGCGGUCCAAUAGGUGUGGGUGGGAGACUUGAAAGUCAGGUUUUUCCUGGCUGGCGGAAAGAGUUCCCCGCGUGGACUGCGGAUGGAUGGAGAUCUGAUGGCGGGGGCCCUGCCAGCCAUUCGUCUGGAGGCACCGACAGCAAACAAACAAUCGUACAAAAGCGGAGGAAUCCCCCCGAUGAGCGAUUCGCUCAAACGAUCGUUCGUCAUCCCUGACCUGUGACACGGGAAGGAGUAGUAGAGGCCAGUAGAACUGUAUACGGACUGAAAUAAACAGCGGCUUUGUCGAAAGACACAAACCUGCCAGUCGAUAAAGUUGCGCAAUGAGACGCAAGAUGAAGUGGCCGCACUGUUGCCCCGGGUCCUGUGUGGGAGUAGAGAGGCUGGCUUUGACAUGCAAUGCUACAUGCAAGAUGGCUCUCAGCUAAUAGGCAGGUGAGUACAUGCACAUGCACACCCCCCCCCCCCCCCCCGCCCCACACUUACACAAACAUGGAUACGAACUCACUAGUCGUACAGUGAAAGACGUCAUUGACAUAACAGUGGAAAGGCAGGAGUAAAGUGCAAAGGGGACAUGAUGAGCUCAAAUAUACGUUUUAAUAUAUUUUUCCUGAAAGAUUUGGUAAAAGCGUUUAACAGUGAAGUCGUGCGGCCUGUUUUGUUAACGUUUGACAGUGACACAUGGGGCUUAAGGGACGUCUCUGACUGAUGACAAAGCGUGAAUAUCACGGCUACGGUUGGCACAUAAAUCCCGUUUUAGAUCCUCGGGGCCGUGACUCAUAACACCAAAACCAACACUCGAUAGUUUUGGUUUGGUUGUUGCCGGCUCUCCUCUUUCGCGCUGCCGGGAACAAACGGGAAACUUCCAGCCGCCUGCGUACUGUACAGCCCGGAUCCCAGGGAGGCCGGAGGGACCUGGGGAGGGUGAGAAGGCAACCGGGGGGGAGGCGGGAAAGGGGAGGAGAAGACUUUCAGGGUGCCGAGAGUUUUUUGGGGCUGAGCGGGUCUAUUUGGCCCCCAGCAGAUUGCCCCCCUCUCCUGCCCUCCCCUCCUCUUCCUCCUCCUCCUCCUCCACCCCUCUCCUCCCCCUGGCUUUGUGUGCCCUGAGCCCACUCCUCCCCCUUUUGUCACCCGGGCAUUCCGCUUUGGUUAGCACACACAAUGGGCGCUCAGUGCUCACCCUCCUGACACUGCAUUCUGCCUGUGCACCAGGGAGUGGGCACGGGAGGGGGAGGCAAUGGGGUCCGGAGGGGGGGAAGGGGAGGGGAGGGUUAGAGGAUGACAGCGACUCACCCCAUGUGACCAAAAAUGCCAUCAAGCAUCGACUCCCCCCCCCUCCCCCCUCUCCCUCCCUCCCUCCCCUGCUCCGAAGGCCGUCGUGUAACUUCACCCAUGCAGAUGGGCAGCAGAAGUAGUGCCAGCGGGCCUGGUUGGCACGGCGGGAGAAAACACACCCCCCCCCCCAAAAAAAACCUUGUGUUCGCUAAAGCAAACAAACGAACAGGUGUCUCUCGUGGCUGACUGGAGCCCUGCCUCCAUCCAGGGGUCCGCGUGCCCGGCUACACGUGUGUUCCCUUCGACUUCGUCGUGCCGGCCACGCGUCCUGAGCGGGAUUUUAAGACCUGGCUUCGGGAACAUUUCUGUCUGAAAAUGAAUCCCUUACAUCGACAACGGCAGUGGUGGAGUUGGCCCAAUUACAAGUCCAGGCUUUAACCGCUUUGACGUGUUUAUCAAAUAUUUGGAACUCUUCCUGGCCCUCCGGCGGGUUUUUUGGCCCUGAUGAUAUAAUGGCAUAGUUUGACCUGUCAUGGCUUCUGUUAUUUUGUAAAUAGCUGCACGUGCACAACUGCCAAACAAAUGAUUGCACUUAAGUAAAGUAAUACAUUGUGGCCAUAAACACAGAAGGAAACCCUCGACUGUAAAUAGAGCAGCUUCCUUUCCCAUCUGUCCAUUGACAUGACCCUUUCUUAUUAAUUGAACCCUCAACAAACACUGCCUAAUCAUAUGUCACCUGAAAGAACCUCAGGUGCAAAAGUUUGAGAGUGAAGUUGCAGAACAUGUAACUUGAAUUGCUAUUUAAGCACAGCAACAAGUGGAGGAUGACGGGGUCCGUGCAUGUGUGUGUGUGUGGCAGCAGCUCAGGAGCUGGUGGGGGGUUAGUUUGGGUUUCAAAGACCCUGCUUGUUCGCCCAUAUUUCACACCACGGUGACAUCUUAAAGCCCAGACAGGCCUGGUUGCUUCGCCCUCUCUUUCACUUUCUGAGAAAAAAGGGGAAUUGGGAUGUGAGGGAGGGGGUAACUGAAAUAUAUGCAAAUGGUCCCCCAGAGGGGAUACGAAUUUUAUGGGUUUAGAAUUUAGUUCAGCCAACCUGAAUAAUCAAAUGUGGGAACAAAAAAAAAAAAAAAAACGAGAACCCCCACCAUCCCGCCACCGCAACUCCAUACCUCGAGCUUCAACCCCCCACCUCAGGCCUCAUCUCUGUCCCCUCCUGCCAGGUCCUCGCAUAAGAGGAGCUCAGUACGUCCAAACUCUUAUUAGGAUCUCCUUACGAGGCAGGGGAAUGGAAGAGAAAUGAGGGGAGGGGGGGAGGAAGAAAGGGGUCGGUGAGUGGAGGGGGCACCAAAGAGAAGGAAGGGAGAGAAGAGGGGCUAGUGUACCUGAUCAGGCAGAACCAGCCGGCUCCUGAUUACGACACCAUUUUCUCAGCAGGUUUCUCAGCCUCAUCCUGCUUCUGUGAAUAUGGAGCACGGGGCCAGCCAAUCCCCUCGGCGCUGCCUCUCGUCUAAUGGCAGAAUUAAGACCGUUUAGAGUGAUUUCCUCUGCCUUCAUGGUCGCACUCUGAAAGAGACGAAUCUUUUUUUUUUUUUCUUUUGCGCCGAUUUACAAUGUGGGGGGUCCGGCAUGCAACGGGUGAGAGGAAAAGUUCUACAUGACUGAACAUAACACUACAACAGGUGGGGAAACGAACCGAGUCUGAGAGCGAUUUCACUUGGCAUUUGCCUCCGUGUUUUGCGUUGAACCCUCGGUUCAGUUCCGAGGGAAAAGUUCACCUUCUCAGCACACUUACCUUCGUGUGGGUUUGUUAGUACACAAGCAGCUUUUUCAGGGGACCCUCGAACACACGACCACGAUGCUCCGCCUGUUGUCUCCGUCACUGUGCAUUUGGUUCUGAACACGUAGAUGUAAAUCUGUAAUUCCAAUAAGCGAAGCUACUGGGUUGAUCACACGAAAGCUUUUAUUUUAACCGCUUCAUAGAGUUCUUCUGUUACAACACUAAAUGCGUUGUGUCUGCACGUCGUUUGAGGAGGUUUUAAAUAAAGAUCCUCUAAAUAUGACAGUAACUUUACAGAAGAUUGAGGCUGAACAAACAGUUCACAACGCAUUCAUUAGGAAAGAUAUAUUGAAUAACUGGACCGCAACCAUUGAUGCAUUCGACUUAACAGAUAAAAGCUUCAUCCAGAAGAUUUUUCUGAAUUCCCUUUCGAUGCUUAAAAAUAUUUUGUCAUUAAUAAAUCUAAAAACAUUAUAAAAAUGACACCAUGUUGAUUUAAUGUAAUGAGAUCAGUUUUACUUUAUUGAGACACUUAAUGUCACACCUCUUCUCGUAGAAAUCUUGACCAACUUUGGGCUGAUUUCUAAAAUUGCACAAAGAUCAGGAAACAUUUAUUGUCAAAAUAAAUGUUGACCUUUCUGAACCACCUGGUUUUCGUGGGACAGUUGAGAGUUGUGAAUGCUCGAUACAUGUAAUCCCUGAAUGGAAAUAAGGCUGCCAAAGGUUGAAAGCUGAUCGUGCGUCAGAUAAAACUGAUUCGUAAUGACACCAACCCAAACAGGGUGUAAAUCUGGACGCAAAUCUGCUUAAACUCACUCCUCCUUUGUCAAACUGCAUUACGUCAAGCACAUCACUCCGACUAUAACAUAGCGCCAUAUCAAACAACCGCAGUUGGAACCUGUUGCCUUUGUGUUCCCUUUUCUUAAUGAUUCCCCCACUCCCCCCCCCCCCCAACCUCCGGCAGACAAAUCCUUCAGCUUUAUUGCCCGGACUCAAGGGCUGCAGGUGCACAGGCCACAAAAGGGAGAGGAGGGGAGGGGGUUGGAGGAAGGGUAAGGAAAGAGAAUGGUCAGCCGGGAGAUAAGAGAGGACCUUUGCACCCGCCCAUCCUCACCCCGGACCCGGCCUUUACCCCUGCAACACCUCUCCGUUUGGCUCCACUGCUUCGCCACACGUGACAGGGGAAGGCAAACGGCGAGUGGUGCCGCCUGGCGCUACCAGGCUUCUGUGUGUGUGUGUGUGUGUGUGUGUGUGUGUGUGUGUGUGUGUGUGUGUGUGUGUGUGUGGCAGGGGACGGGGCAGGCGUGGCAGAGUGGCCAAGUGGCUGCAGCGGCCCUUUUCUUCUAGAGCAGCAGAGGAGCAGUAAUGACUAGGAGCUACAGCUGUGCCCACUGAGGCUUGCCUACACCUUUCCCUGCAGCGGCCCCUCCACCUCAUCUCGCCUCUGGCCUCCGCCGCCGAGGGAGGGAAGCUACGGAGUGGGAGGGUUCCGUCUUUUACUCCUACUUGCUCUACAACAGAACUAUGAAGAAUAGGAUCCGUCCUCAAGGCGACAGUCCAAAACGGAAACGCACAAGGAGCAAGACUGUGGGUUCAGCGUCUUGCUCAAGGACACUUGGACGAAUGUGGCCGAACCUUGUGAUUAAGGGCAGACCCGCUCUGCAACGAGUCACAGCACCAAACUCUGAGUUUGUUGUAUUUGAGUUUAUCACUGUCCCUUAAUCUAAGGGGAAAUUAAGUGAAAGUUAUCUGAUUCAAUCUGGUGUGUAUAUGUGUGUGUUAUAAAAACUAAUUGUGUUCAAAGUGUUACUUGGCUGAUUGUCAAAGUCACUAAUUAUGAAUGUGUCAGUGAGUAUGCACCACACGGUGUUUUCCUCACCCAAAAUAGUUUGACCUAUUUCCUAUUCUUUGUCAAUUUAUAAAUACAUUUUUCAGUAUGCCCCCAUUUCAUUGGUACAUGUUGACCUGUAGGGACUGGGCUGAAAAACAGAUCCUCUGCUUGUAUUUGCAUCAAAGGGUGGCAUGGAAACCGUGCGUGAGAUCAAAGGGUUUGCCUGUGGUUUAAAUGAGUCAGGUUUAGGGAUGGCCUGAAUAUGACACAACGUGUGAGUCACAGAAAGAAAGAAAAUAAGAGCACAAUGCAGAUGAAAAAACACCUGCACCUUACAGGGGGGAAAAAAAUAAACAUGCGCAUUGGGUUCAAGCACUGUGUGUGCCUCCAUGUUUCCACAUGUAAACUUAAAAGCGCAUUAUGCAAGUACAUAUAGGCACACACCAACCCGUCUUGCGCUAAUGGAGCCGCUGUGCCGGGGACACACCCUUGGGGACAGGAAGAACAGGCCGCUCCAGAGCAUCUGAGACACAGUGGCACCACACUAGCAUGAUGACUCUUUAACGUCUGCUUAUCUUCAUCCCUAAUCCUUGGGCUUCUUCGCCACCAGCUCCUGUUUGCUCCAUGCACAAGUCAAGAGUAAAAGCGGAGAAUGGACUUUCUUCAUUUUGUAAUGACUGGAGUCCACUAGAAAGCCAUUGAGGAAAGGCCUCCAGUCUGGUGGCAGCCUCGUAUUGAAUACGGAUUGAAAUUUACAUGACAACUUAGGAAAAAUGCUUUUUUAUUACUCAUUCAUCCCCUAAAUCACUCUGCGCCCCCCCCCCCCCCCCCCCGCGCCUUUCCUCUGCCUGAGCUAUUAAAUCACCAUCUUGACCCUACGACCUGGGGCCGCAACCAUAAAGAGCCCCCUGCGGGUCAGAGGCCUGAUUGUAACAUUUGAAUAUGAAAUAGCCUCGGUCGGGCCUGGAAACAGCCCCAUGCUCCGAGACAGAGGCUGACCCCCAAGAGAGAGGCCUGCCUCAGCAGCCCCGGGCCG
ensembl:lncRNA